rnacentral:rRNA from 1 species
CGAGCACGCGCGUGUGGCAUAUCAAUAAGCGGAGGAAAAGAAACUAACGAGGAUUCCCUUAGUAACGGCGAGUGAAGCGGGAAGAGCUCAAAUUUGAAAUCUUCAAGGUUCUACCUUGACGAAUUGUAGUUUAAAGAAGUGUUUUCUGUUAGAUGAGUAGCAAAAGUUCCUUGGAAUGGGACAUCAUAGAGGGUGAGAAUCCCGUAUUUGGUUAUUCAUUCUAGCUUUGUGAUACACUUUCAAAGAGUCGGAUUGUUUGGGAAUGCAGUCCAAAAUGGGUGGUAAAUUUCAUCUAAAGCUAAAUAUUGGCGAGAGACCGAUAGCGAACAAGUACCGUGAGGGAAAGAUGAAAAGAACUUUGAAAAGAGAGUUAAACAGUACGUGAAAUUGUCAAAAGGGAAGCGUUUGACACCAGUGUUGUUUUUCCGAAAAUCAAUUACGAAUGGCUUGAUUUUGUGUUGUAUUGACCUUAUCAGCUUUCUUCACUUUUUUCGAGUCUUUCUUAAUGCACUUUUCGGUUAACAAGUCAACAUCAAUUUCUUUUGUUGUAAAAGGGUAUGAGGAAGGUGGCUUUCUUUUCGGAGAAAGUGUUUAUAGCCUUGUAGCCUCUGCAAUCGGAGAGAUUGAGGUCUGCAGCGUAGAUCCUUCGGGGUUAGAUACAGUUUGUGCUAAGUUAUAGCUUUUCAUAGACAACUUGUUGACUAUGUUUAGUCUUGUAGCUUACUCGCUUAUGCUAUUUUACCUACGCUUAGGAUGUUGAGUAGCGACAUACGCAC